UAGUGAAAUAAUUUCAGAUCUUAAAACUCGUUUUUAACGUCAACAGCCCAAAAAAGUUUCACAGGAAUGUGCCUGAAAGUGAUACACAGGCCUCGUUUUUACCUAAAUGAUUUACAAUUUAUUUGAAUACAUAUUAAUCCUCAUUACUGCUAAUCUAGCACUUACACCUGAAGCGGCACACGCUCCAACGCGGGUCACCUUUCGACGGAACCUACGCUCACUCUCUCCAUCUCGCCUAUCCUCUGUGGUUGCAUCCUCACUUCCUUCACUCUCGCACUUUUCAGCUCUGGACACGAACAGUGCUACGGACACUUUUUGUUCCACUCUGACCUCUUGCUUGGACAACUUUUGCCCACUGUCGUCUAGACCAGCACGCACCACCCCAUCUGCCCCUUGGCUGUCCGAUGUACUCCGUGAACAUCGCUCUAAACUCAGGGCUGCAGAGAGGAAAUGGCUUAAAUCAAGAAACUCUACCGACCUCAGUGUGUAUCAGUCUCUCCUCUCUUCCUUCUCUGCAAACGUCUUCACUGCUAAAGCAUCAUAUUACCACGACAAGAUUAACAACUGUUGUGACGCUCGGACACUCUUCAAAACCUUCUCUUCUCUUCUUAAUCCGCCUCCACCUCCUCCUCAAUCGACUCUUACAGCUGAUGACUUUGCAGUUUUCUUCACAAAUAAGACAAGAAACAUCAGUGACCAAUUCUCCACACUGCAGACUGAGGAUAACUUCACAACGACUAAUGCUCACUCGUUCUCCUCCUUCUCUCCACUCUCAGAGACGGACGUUUCCAAACUUAUCCUGUCCAGUCAUCCUACUACUUGCCCACUGGAUCCGAUCCCCACUCACCUCCUUCAAGCGAUUUCUUCUUCAGUCAUACCUUCACUUACUCACAUUAUCAACUCCUCUCUUCACUCUGGAACAUUUCCCUCAGCAUUUAAGCAGGCUCGGGUAAGCCCACUGCUGAAGAAACCAUCUCUAAAUCCAGCACUUCUAGAAAACUACAGACCGGUAUCCCUUCUUCCAUUCAUUGCAAAGACACUCGAAAGAGCUGUGUUCAACCAGCUCUCUAUGUUUCUUGUACAGAACAACCUCCUGGACNNNNNNNNNNNNNNNNNNNNNNNNNNNNNNNNNN
ensembl:lncRNA